rnacentral:rRNA from 1 species
GACGAACGCUGGCGGCGUGCUUAACACAUGCAAGUCGAACGGAAAGGCCCCUUUGGGGGUACUCGAGUGGCGAACGGGUGAGUAACACGUGAGUAACCUGCCCUUGACUUCGGGAUAACUUCAGGAAACUGGGGCUAAUACCGGAUAGGAAUCCUUGCUGCAUGGUGGGGGUUGGAAAGCUUCGGCGGUUUUGGAUGGACUCGCGGCUUAUCAGCUUGUUGGUGGGGUAGUGGCUUACCAAGGCGUUGACGGGUAGCCGGCCUGAGAGGGCGACCGGCCACAUUGGGACUGAGAUACGGCCCAGACGCCUACGGGAGGCAGCAGUGGGGAAUAUUGCACAAGGGGCGGAAGCCUGAUGCAGCAACGCCGCGUGCGGGAUGACGGCCUUCGGGUUGUAAACCGCUUUCAGCAGGGGCGAAGCUUGUGGUGACGGUACCUGCAGAAGAAGCACCGGCUAACUACGUG